rnacentral:rRNA from 1 species
GAUGAACGCUGGCGGCGUGCCUAAUACAUGCAAGUCGAGCGAACGGACGAGAAGCUUGCUUCUCUGAUGUUAGCGGCGGACGGGUGAGUAACACGUGGAUAACCUACCUAUAAGACUGGGAUAACUUCGGGAAACCGGAGCUAAUACCGGAUAAUAUUUUGAACCGCAUGGUUCAAAAGUGAAAGACGGUCUUGCUGUCACUUAUAGAUGGAUCCGCGCUGCAUUAGCUAGUUGGUAAGGUAACGGCUUACCAAGGCAACGAUGCAUAGCCGACCUGAGAGGGCGAUCGGCCACACUGGAACUGAGACACGGUCCAGACUCCUACGGGAGGCAGCAGUAGGGAAUCUUCCGCAAUGGGCGAAAGCCUGACGGAGCAACGCCGCGUGAGUGAUGAAGGUCUUCGGAUCGUAAAACUCUGUUAUUAGGGAAGAACAUAUGUGUAAGUAACUGUGCACAUCUUGACGGUACCUAAUCAGAAAGCCACGGCUAACUAUGUG